GGCUGUAGUUUUUUAUGUUAAAGUCAAUUUUUAAACUUUUGACUAUCCCUAUUUUCUUCAGUAAUUUUCUGCUUUAGUUCUCUAUAACAUUGCCCACAGUCAUACUAUUCACAAGCCUGCAGUCCUCUAAGAAAACAGAUGGCGGCGCCAAAGACCCUUCACUGUGGCUGAGCUGACUGGCGCCAAAAGGAACAGUAAUGGAGGAUAUCCAUCGACAUUACUGCUUCAGUAAAGAUAUUUGGCAGGCUCUGAAGAUGGAUAAGAGGUGGGAUGAAUAAGGUAACCAGGUUGUGAUGAGGGAAAAUGUCCUGAGGGACCCAUAUACUCAGGAACACAACAGUGAACACUUCUACAGAGCUGCUGCUCCUGUCGGGUGUCAUGGUGUUUCCAGAAAUGGCUCUUUGCAGCUCUUCCAGGAGAGCAUGUGGGGAAAAAUAAGAUGACAAUCAACAACUUACAGAACAUACAAGUUACAUUAAGGAGCCGUCACCCCCGCCCCCAAAUCCCAUCAUCCCUUGUCUCCGAGGAGCACAGAAGCAAAGGUAGAAUGUUUUAAAUGCUACAAGGCUACAACCUACAACCUUCAGAAGCCACGUCUGCCUCUGCCUCUGUCUGAGUGAAGGGAAUGGAUUCGGUCAAUUAUUCAUUAAGUAAGCAUGAAGCUUUCUAAUGUUCGUUGGCUGCUUUCUUCAGUGUGAUUUUUUUUUUCCUUAAAUGCCCUGCAGCUCUCAGUUAUCUGUUGGAGAAGAGGGAUGAUGAGACCGUUUUUUUUAAUUCAUUACAGCUUUGUUGUUUUUUGUUGUGGUGUGUGUUGGCGUUUCAUCUCUGUAGAUAACUGCUGCAACCCUCAAGUAAACUAU